rnacentral:lncRNA from 1 species
AUCCCAAAGGUAUAGUCUAUUUUGCCCUGUGCUGGCUAGGUUGUAGAGGGACUGAGCCUAGCUAUCUAUAGCCUUGUGCACACCUGAGUGUCCUCUGAGCACCUCAUUUUCGUGAACCCAUAUUUUCAUCUAUAAAACCGAGAAAAUAAAACUCUAUCCUUUUAUUCCUAAGAGGUGUAGGGAAGCAAAGUUCAAUAGGUCUGAUAUUGCCAAGAAAUGACUUACAGAGUGUGGCAUUUAAUCUUCACAGGAAAUCACAGUAUUUAAAGAACAAACUGACUCUCAGGUAAAGAGUGAGCUACUGGUUCAUCUUAGCUUGUCACAAGUCCACUCAGCCCCUCCUUUUAUUUUGUAUUGUUUCCCUUUCUAAAUGAUGAGGACUAAUUCUUAUGUUUUGGCAAUGGUUCUGUUGCUGGGUAGACUUCCAACACUGCCUCAUGAUUCAUUGUCUGCAUACUGUAGUGAGAAUUUUGAUUUCUUUAAAAAACACAGAAAUCUUAUAAGAAUACAUUUUUGUUUUAAUCCCGGGUGUGGGAUAUGCGGCUGCUUCAGAUUGUCUUACAGAAGCUGACUAUGAUUUGCCUCAUGCUCUAGCAGGGGCAUGAUUUUGCCAGCUACAGAUAGCUUGUGCAAGUGUAGAACAUUUGGAAUCUGGGGUCUUUUGAGCAUGUAGAUAAAUGCUGGGGCCCUGAGGGGAUGUUGGUGGGUUGUUGGUUGCUUGGUGUUGGUUGCAGUUUGGUAAGUAGUCAUGUGCAAACAAGAAACAACAAGAAGAAAUAAGAUAUCUUCACAGCAAAGAUCAAACUUGCCCCCAAGGACCUCGAUGUCCCUAAUCAGCAGGAAGUAGUAGUUUCUCAAUAUAGUAAUCCCCUUUCCCCUCUAUCCUUUUUUUCUCUCCUAUCUGAUGUUUGGGGAUGGAAAGAGUGGGAAAAGUGGGUGGAGAAGGAUAAAAAGAACACACAACAUAGCAAAGGUCUGUCUACAGCAUAUAUUCCAUUUUAGUUUAUAUUUGCUGUGGUUGAUAAACAUUCAUGCUCUACUUAGCUCACUUCUGCCACAAAGAAUUCCACAACCGACAUCCUCAUUUGUGACCUUUGAAGAUCUAUAUGGAAUUACUUCUUAGAUUUGCCCAGGAGUUAGAUCCAUGGGUCAUGUGAUAUAUGCAAAUUUCAUUUCAGGUUGGCUUUUAUUCUGGAAGCCAUAUAUGAGAGGUCCCAUAUCCUUACCUUUCCACCAUUAAAUGAAAUACGUCUUGGUCAUUCUGAUAUCUGAAAGUGGCAUUUAAUUAUUUUAGUUUCCAUUCUUUUGAUGGCUAGUUGGGACUGCAUCUUUUCACUCCUUUUUUAAUCUAAUGUUCCUUUCUGAAAAUGAGUGUUUUGUGUCCUUUAUCUACUUUACAUUCUUAGUAGUCUUAGUGUAAGUCCCUUGUUAGCUUCAAAUGCUACAAUAAUUAACUCUCAAUUUGUAAUUAAAUAACUUAUCAAUUACAUCUUCUUUUUGCCAAAUAUACUUGCUAUGUCAAGCAGGCAAGUCUGGCAUUCUUAUAUUUAGUGGUUAGUAACUCUGGAAUUAAUUUUUUGGAAAUAGUUUCUACUCCAAAUAAGGACUUUGGAUCUUUAUUAUAAAUGAGGAAAUUAUUAUUUCAUCCUGCUCAAUCAGAAACAUGACUUAAAACUCAGUAAUUAACUCUUCACAACUUAGAUCAUGAUAUUGACAACAUUUUAAAAGCAAUCAGGUAUGGGGGAGGGUAUAGGGGACUUUCGGAGAGGAAACUAGGAAAGGAGAUAGCAUUUGAAAUGUAAAUGAAGAAAAUUUCU